AUGGCCUCAACCACGAGCACCAAGAAGAUGAUGGAGGAAGCCACCUGCUCCAUCAGCCUGAGCCUGAUGACGAACGCAGUAAGCAUCAACUGUGGACACAUGAAAUGUCAUGUGACGAACAUGGAGAACAGCUCCACCUGCUCUACGAAGAUGAAGGACAGCUCAUCUGCUGGCGCCGUGAGCCAGCACUGCAACACAAAGGGCACACCACAGUGCUUGUUGAAGACAUAUGCCAGGGCUACAAGGAAAAGCUUCACAAAGCUGUGACAAAUUUGAGGCAACUUGAAGACGAAUGGAGCAGAAGCUGUUCACAGCAAUACAAAUAACUAAAUGAAAGAAAAGAUACAGAUUCAGAAACAAAAAAAUCCAGUCUGACUUUAAGGGUCUUCAGAGUUUCCUACAUGAGGAAGAGAAGGGAUAUCUCUGGAGACUGGAGAAAGAAUAACAACAGACUCUGAGUCAACUGAGGGACCAUGAGGCCAGUCUGAGGCUGAAGAGUAAUGAACUAAAGAGCCAGAUCCUGGAACGGGAGGAAAAAUGUCAGGGCUCAGCCCAGAAAUUGCUACAGAACGUAAAUGACACUUUGAGCAAGAGUUGGGCCACGAAGCUGGAAACAUCAGAGGCCGUCUCCUUGGAGCUUCAUACUAUGUGCAAUGUUUCUGAGCUUUACUUUGAUGUGAAGAAAAUGUUAAGGAAUCAUCAAGUCAGUGUGACUCUGGAUCCAGACACAGCUCAUCAUGAACUAAUUCUGUCUGAAGAUGGGAGGCAAGUGACUCAAGGAUACCCCCAGCAGAAUCAGGACACUUCUUCCAGGAGAUUUAGUGCCUUGCCUUGUGUCUUGGGUUGUGAAGGUUUCACCUCAGGAAGAUGCUACUUUGAAGUGGAUGUUGGAGAAGGAACCGGGUGGAUUUAGGAGUUUGUAUGGAUAAUGUGCAAAGAAGCACUGGCAUGAAGCAAGAGCCUCAGUUUGGAUUCUGGGCCCUCGAUGUGUACAAAAAGAAAGGUUAUGUAGCACUUACUUCUCUCCCAACUUCCCUUCAUCUGCAUGAGCAGCAUCUGGCUGUGGGAGUUUUUCUGGACUAUGAGGCCGGAGUUGUAUCCUUUCACAAUGGGACUACUGGCUGCCACAUCUUCACUUUCCCAAAGGCUUCCUUCUCUGAUACUCUCUGGCCCUAUUUCCAGGUUUAUCAUUAUUAUCCUUUGUUUCUGCCUUCCCUAGAUGAUUAAGGAAAAAAGCAGAGGCCCCUUCAUUUAACCAGCACAAAGAAAAUAAUGUAAAUCCCAUAAG